rnacentral:rRNA from 1 species
GGGGGACCAUCCUCCAAGGCUAAAUACUACUGACUGACCGAUAGUGAACCAGUACCGUGAGGGAAAGGCGAAAAGAACCCCGGAGAGGGGAGUGAAAUAGAACCUGAAACCGUAUGCGUACAAGCAGUGGGAGCCUACUUGUUAGGUGACUGCGUACCUUUUGUAUAAUGGGUCAGCGACUUAUAUUCAGUGGCAAGCUUAACCGUAUAGGGUAGGCGUAGCGAAAGCGAGUCUUAAUAGGGCGUUUAGUCGCUGGGUAUAGACCCGAAACCGGGCGAUCUAUCCAUGAGCAGGUUGAAGGUUAGGUAACACUGACUGGAGGACCGAACCCACUCCCGUUGAAAAGGUAGGGGAUGACUUGUGGAUCGGAGUGAAAGGCUAAUCAAGCUCGGAGAUAGCUGGUUCUCCUCGAAAGCUAUUUAGGUAGCGCCUCAUGUAUCACUCUGGGGGGUAGAGCACUGUUUCGGCUAGGGGGUCAUCCCGACUUACCAAACCGAUGCAAACUCCGAAUACCCAGAAGUGCCGAGCAUGGGAGACACACGGCGGGUGCUAACGUCCGUCGUGAAAAGGGAAACAACCCAGACCGCCAGCUAAGGUCCCAAAGUUGUGGUUAAGUGGUAAACGAUGUGGGAAGGCUUAGACAGCUAGGAGGUUGGCUUAGAAGCAGCCAUCCUUUAAAGAAAGCGUAAUAGCUCACUAGUCGAGUCGGCCUGCGCGGAAGAUGUAACGGGGCUCAAACCACACACCGAAGCUGCGGGUGUCACGUAAGUGACGCGGUAGAGGAGCGUUCUGUAAGCCUGUGAAGGUGAGUUGAGAAGCUUGCUGGAGGUAUCAGAAGUGCGAAUGCUGACAUGAGUAACGACAAUGGGUGUGAAAAACACCCACGCCGAAAGACCAAGGGUUCCUGCGCAACGUUAAUCGACGCAGGGUUAGUCGGUUCCUAAGGCGAGGCUGAAAAGCGUAGUCGAUGGGAAACAGGUUAAUAUUCCUGUACUUCUGGUUACUGCGAUGGAGGGACGGAGAAGGCUAGGCCAGCUUGGCGUUGGUUGUCCAAGUUUAAGGUGGUAGGCUGAAAUCUUAGGUAAAUCCGGGGUUUCAAGGCCGAGAGCUGAUGACGAGUCGUCUUUUAGAUGACGAAGUGGUUGAUGCCAUGCUUCCAAGAAAAGCUUCUAAGCUUCAGGUAACCAGGAACCGUACCCCAAACCGACACAGGUGGUCGGGUAGAGAAUACCAAGGCGCUUGAGAGAACUCGGGUGAAGGAACUAGGCAAAAUGGCACCGUAACUUCGGGAGAAGGUGCGCCGGCUAGGGUGAAGGAUUUACUCCGUAAGCUCUGGCUGGUCGAAGAUACCAGGCCGCUGCGACUGUUUAUUAAAAACACAGCACUCUGCAAACACGAAAGUGGACGUAUAGGGUGUGACGCCUGCCCGGUGCCGGAAGGUUAAUUGAUGGGGUUAGCGCAAGCGAAGCUCUUGAUCGAAGCCCCGGUAAACGGCGGCCGUAACUAUAACGGUCCUAAGGUAGCGAAAUUCCUUGUCGGGUAAGUUCCGACCUGCACGAAUGGCGUAACGAUGGCGGCGCUGUCUCCACCCGAGACUCAGUGAAAUUGAAAUCGCUGUGAAGAUGCAGUGUAUCCGCGGCUAGACGGAAAGACCCCGUGAACCUUUACUGUAGCUUUGCACUGGACUUUGAGCCUGCUUGUGUAGGAUAGGUGGGAGGCUUUGAAGCGUGGACGCCAGUUCGCGUGGAGCCAUCCUUGAAAUACCACCCUGGCAUGCUUGAGGUUCUAACUCUGGUCCGUGAUCCGGAUCGAGGACAGUGUAUGGUGGGCAGUUUGACUGGGGCGGUCUCCUCCUAAAGAGUAACGGAGGAGUACGAAGGUGCGCUCAGACCGGUCGGAAAUCGGUCGCAGAGUAUAAAGGCAAAAGCGCGCUUGACUGCGAGACAGACACGUCGAGCAGGUACGAAAGUAGGUCUUAGUGAUCCGGUGGUUCUGUAUGGAAGGGCCAUCGCUCAACGGAUAAAAGGUACUCCGGGGAUAACAGGCUGAUACCGCCCAAGAGUUCAUAUCGACGGCGGUGUUUGGCACCUCGAUGUCGGCUCAUCACAUCCUGGGGCUGAAGCCGGUCCCAAGGGUAUGGCUGUUCGCCAUUUAAAGUGGUACGCGAGCUGGGUUUAGAACGUCGUGAGACAGUUCGGUCUCUAUCUGCCGUGGACGUUUGAGAUUUGAGAGGGGCUGCUCCUAGUACGAGAGGACCGGAGUGGACGAACCUCUGGUGUUCCGGUUGUCACGCCAGUGGCAUUGCCGGGUAGCUAUGUUCGGAAAAGAUAACCGCUGAAAGCAUCUAAGCGGGAAACUUGCCUCAAGAUGAGAUCUCACUGGGAACUUGAUUCCCCUGAAGGGCCGUCGAAGACUACGACGUUGAUAGGCUGGGUGUGUAAGCGUUGU